GAUUAACGCUAGCGGCAGGCCUAAUACAUGCAAGUCGAACGGCAGCACGGGUAGCAAUACCUGGUGGCGAGUGGCGCACGGGUGCGUAACACGUAUGCAAUUUACCUUUAACUGGGGAAUAACCCCUCGAAAGAGGGGCUAAUACCGCAUAACACUUCGAUGGGGCAUCCCAAUGAAGUCAAACCUCCGGGGGUUAAAGAGAAGCAUGCGUCCGAUUAGCUAGUUGGCGGGGUAACGGCCCACCAAGGCUACGAUCGGUAGGGGAUCUGAGAGGAUGAUCCCCCACACUGGUACUGAGACACGGACCAGACUCCUACGGGAGGCAGCAGUAAGGAAUAUUGGACAAUGGGCGCAAGCCUGAUCCAGCCAUGCCGCGUGCAGGAUGAAGGUGCUAUGCAUUGUAAACUGCUUUUACUUGGGAAAAAACCCCUGCAUUCUUGCGGGGCUGAUUGUACCGAGAGAAUAAGGGUCGGCUAACUUCGUGC
rnacentral:rRNA from 1 species